UACGGGGGGAGCAAGCGUUGUUCGGAUUUACUGGGCGUAAAGGGUUCGUAGGUGGCCACUUAAGUCAGACGUGAAAUCCCUCAGCUUAACUGGGGAACUGCGUCUGAUACUGAGUGGCUUGAGUGCAGGAGAGGAAUGCGGAACUCCAGGUGUAGCGGUGAAAUGCGUAGAUAUCUGGAGGAACACCGGUGGCGAAGGCGGCAUCCUGGACCGGCAUUGACGCUGAGGCGCGAAAGCCAGGGGAGCAAACGGG
rnacentral:rRNA from 1 species